rnacentral:rRNA from 1 species
CAGUAGCCACGGUAAUACAGAGGGUGCGAGCGUUAAUCGGAUUUACUGGGCGUAAAGCGUGCGUAGGCGGCUUUUUAAGUCGGAUGUGAAAUCCCUGAGCUUAACUUAGGAAUUGCAUUCGAUACUGGGAAGCUAGAGUAUGGGAGAGGAUGGUAGAAUUCCAGGUGUAGCGGUGAAAUGAGUAGAGAUCUGGAGGAAUACCGAUGGCGAAGGCAGCCAUCUGGCCUAAUACUGACGCUGAGGUACGAAAGCAUGGGGAGCAAACAGGAUUAGAUACCCCGGUAGUCCCUGUCUCUUAUAC